GAGGCCACGCACCGUCGUCAUCGUCGUUCCCGUUUCGUCCGUGUAUGCUUCACGCGUCGUCGUUACUCUUCUCGCGUUGUCAUUCAAUAAUAUUUUUCUCGUACUUUCAGCCACAGCCAAGCCAUCUCUGGAAUGUUCAACCUGCAUGCUGUUUUCCUUGCGACCGUUUUUCUUUGGCUGUCGACGAUCGAUCGUGAAUCCGUCACGCAGCAGUGAGCUGAGCAUUCUGCUGUCAGUGUGGGAUGAACGAUUGCCCAUGGACAACGAAUGAAUUUGAGUAUAUAUUAAGUACUCACACUGUCGCACACCUGCUGUACCUGUACCCAUUUCUUUGGCCUUUUCUCCUUUCAAUAUGCCGGAGGAUCUUGCGGAAUAUCAUCUCAUCUCGGGCAAUCGUUGAUCCCACACGCGAGAUGCUCUGUGGCAUGGCCCUUGAAUUUGAAUAUACUUUAGACUCCAUCAACGGACACACAGUGCUUAAUAUAUGAUGCACAACAGUACCAUGCAUGGAAACUGGUCUACCUCGUGGAACCCUGUUAUGCGGUUUAUGCUUUAUACUACAUUUUCACUACUCAGGAUCAUGUCUUGCAUUACAUUGCAUUGACAAAUCUGUUGGGAAGAUGAUUGAGCUAUCAGAAUUUUUCAGAAUGGGUUGACGAAACUGUAUCUCUUCCGACUGAUUGAAUAUCAGUGGCAGCAUUAAGGAAAGUCAUCAUGGUACCAGUCGUUGUAGAUUAUGACUGCCGUGAGACAUCUUCCCAACGAGUACAUUCUGCAUCCUGAGCCUGUGUGUUUUUUCAAUCUAAUGGUUCAAAGGCUACACAAAAGUAUUGUACAUGGUGACUUUUGCACAGUAAUACAGAGGAUUCCUGGAGUUCUAGCA